GUUUGAUGUUCUAACGUGGAUCCGUAAUCCGGGUUGCGGACAGUGUCUGGUGGGUAGUUUGACUGGGGCGGUCUCCUCCUAAAGAGUAACGGAGGAGCACGAAGGUUGGCUAAUCCUGGUCGGACAUCAGGAGGUUAGUGCAAUGGCAUAAGCCAGCUUGACUGCGAGCGUGACGGCGCGAGCAGGUGCGAAAGCAGGUCAUAGUGAUCCGGUGGUUCUGAAUGGAAGGGCCAUCGCUCAACGGAUAAAAGGUACUCCGGGGAUAACAGGCUGAUACCGCCCAAGAGUUCAUAUCGACGGCGGUGUUUGGCACCUCGAUGUCGGCUCAUCACAUCCUGGGGCUGAAGUAGGUCCCAAGGGUAUGGCUGUUCGCCAUUUAAAGUGGUACGCGAGCUGGGUUUAGAACGUCGUGAGACAGUUCGGUCCCUAUCUGCCGUGGGCGCUGGAGAACUGAGGGGGGCUGCUCCUAGUACGAGAGGACCGGAGUGGACGCAUCACUGGUGUUCGGGUUGUCAUGCCAAUGGCACUGCCCGGUAGCUAAAUGCGGAAGAGAUAAGUGCUGAAAGCAUCUAAGCACGAAACUUGCCCCGAGAUGAGUUCUCCCUGAGACUUAGAGUCUCCUGAAGGAACGUUGAAGACGACGACGUUGAUAGGCCGGGUGUGUAAGCGCAGCGAUGCGUUGAGCUAACCGGUACUAAUGAACCGUGAGGCUUAACCUUACAACGCCGAAG
rnacentral:rRNA from 1 species